rnacentral:tRNA from 1 species
UUUUAAUAGUUUAAUAAAAACUUUGGUUUUGUAAACCAAAAAUGAAAUAUUUCUUAAAACUUC